CUCUUGAGACUGAACGAUGGCUACACAUUAGUUCCAUUGUUGUACUGCUCUAAAGUUAAGAGUUUUUUUUCCUGAUAUUCAGGUGUAAUCUGGCUUCCUGUAACUUCAGCCCAUUGUGAAUUUUGUUGUACAGGUGUACUGUGUAUAUACUUACAAUGACAAUAAAUUUAUUUGAAUUAUGUGUCCUGCACUCUUGGAUGGUUGAGAACAGAAGGCUAAAUAUGUCUAGUUCUUUUAGUCUUUCCUCAUAGGGCUUGAUGAGUAGUAGAUGUUUCUUCAAAAGUCCUGGUGGCUGAUGUUAAAGAGAGUCCAAAGGUGGUGCUGUUGAACUGCCAUUGGUCGCAUCUUACCUAGUUGAGGAAGAAUUAGGAAAAGGCUGAUACAAAAAAAGAUAAAAUUGUAGAGCCUUUGUGGAUGAAGUCUUUCCCUGGCACAUCGUGCCUUUAAAUAAGUUCCUUUUCCUGACUCGUGCAAUGGAGACAUUGGCAGAGAAAAGAGGCUUGCUCAUCCAUGUUCUCAGAGAGCGCAUCGGCUAGGUCUGUGUUUGCUCUGCCAGGAGUCUGGCUUCGCUUCAGUCACGUGACAGGAAGAGGAAAAUAAAUUUUAAACCUUUUUUUUUUUCAAAAAAAGUGCGCAUUUGUCCUCCCACACCCAGCCAGAUGGAAAAGCCAUAGAGCCAACUUUAAACGGGACGCUUUGGAAACAGCAACCCCGGCCGGCUGCCUUCGAGGGAGGACGAGGACAGUAAGAGAAGCCUGUGAGUAUUUUUUUGUUCUGACUUUUGCUGGGAAAGGAAAAACCCGAAAGGAAGAAGUGGAGGAACGAGGUGAGCCAUUUUGGGGCAGGAAAGCCGAGGAGAAGAAGGGAUCUCCUGGUGAGAAGGACGAAGGGGGAAGCUUUGACUCCCCAUCUCUUCCCUUCCCCCCCCUCCAUUGGAAACAACGGGGGAACUUGUUCCACCUCCGGAGUUUAAUUUAUUUGUUUGUGGGAAAUAUUCAUCUCAAGGGAGGGGCGAAGGGUUUUUCUCUUUUGCCCACUGCUGCCCUCCAUUGGAAACAACGGGGAAACUUGUCCCACCUCUGGAGUUUAAUUUAUUUGUUUGUGGCAAAUAUUCAUCUCAAGGGAGGGGCGAAGGGUUUUUCUCCUUUGCCUCAGGCAGCAGAAUGUCUUGGACCACCCCGCCCCUCUUGAAUGGGUUCCCCUUUCCUUUCUGCCUCUUUGCAAGAAUCGCCCUGAGCUUGAGCAGAGGAUUUGCUUUCUCCUGAGGGCGAAAGAGUCACAGCUUCAAAACCAAAGCGCUGCAAGUCCUGUCUGGCUCCUCUGGUUCGGAGUACUCCUCCUCCACCUCCUCCAUGGUUGUAAAGAACUGCAAAGCCAGGCAGGAAAGGAUCCAUGGUUUCUGUGGUGCAUUCUGUGCACACGGUGGGACCUUGAGGAUCGUUUGGAGAAGAUCCCAUCUGAAAAACAUACUCAGUCAUGAGGAUCCAAUUUUUUUUUAUUUCAUAGAUCUGCUUUCUUCCCUCUCUUAAGAUAUACAUUUUCUAUAUCUUAACAUGCAUGGAAAGGAUAGAAGGGGUUAACAAAGAAAGGCAGUGUAUAAUCCAGAAGGCUUUCACACCCAUAGCUGUGGGAUCAGCUGUGAUUGAUGGGUGUUGUAACCGGUCUUUUGUGUGUAGGCUCAUGGGUUCUUGUGGCUGGGUAGUGAUUGAUGGGUGUCAUUAGCUGGUCUUUUGUGUGUAGUGAUCAGGGGUCCUUGUGGUUGGGAAGAGUUCGUUGACCUUUUUGCAAACUCAACAAAGCUUGGCUCCCAGCACUGAAAAAUACAGCCUGCAAAAGGUCAACGAGCUCCACCCAGCAGCUCGGUUGCAAGGACUGGUAAUCACUACACACAAAAGGCUCCACCCAGCAGCUCAGCUGCCAGGACUGGUAAUCACUACACACAAAAGACUCCCAUCAACCACAGCUGAUCCCAGCGCUAUAAAUACUCAACUCUCCAAACAAACUUUCCCAUCAAUCACAGCUGAUCCCAGAGCUAUAAAUACUCAAUUCUCCAAACAAACUGCACCAGAGCACAGAGUCCUAUCCUCUGAAGAUGCCGGCCACAGAGACUGGCAAAACAGGAAGAACAACCUUCAGAACAUGGCCAAAGAGCCUGAAAAACCCACAACAACCAAAACAAAGGCAGCCUGGGAUAUUUUUGGUGAUGCUCCUGAUGUCACAAAAAAAAUCAGAUCAUCAGGUGGGUGGAGGGAUUUUUAAGAGACCAGGAAGAAGUUCCUUUGCCCCUCUGAUGGGUUUUUCCUCUCUCCAGUUGGCCAUGUGGGAGAGCUGAUCCCAGGAGAAUCAGAAGUGAGAAACAGCUGCCGGUUCCUUCUCUGAAGAAAGUCUCUGGCAUUUUUAAAGGUCUCAGGCCUUCCAUCCUCAACAUCAAAUGUAGACCCUAAAAGGUGUACUCAUAUUUUGUGAGGAGGUUGGGGUUGUACAUGGAAAAAAAAUUAAGCCAGCCAAAUGUGUUACUUUGCACAGUCUUCCUCAAUGCAGGACAGGAAAAUGGAUCCAAGUCUAUUUUCCAGAAUUAAUAAUCAAAGAUGUGGCUGUAGUUCCCUCAUCUUCCUACCUUCUCCAGUUGGUGGUGCUUCCUGUGGGAAGAAAGUGGGAGAGAUACUAGAAAUGGUGAAAGAGAGAACGAGGAGGCCAGAGGGAGAAAGUAAAAAGCAGAUCCAUUAAUGUGAAAAACGCAUCCUUAUGAUUUCAUAUGAUUCUUAUCUUGGAUCUUCCCCAAACCUCAAGUCCUAGAUCCCAUCUGUGGCCACAAACUAAACUAAACCACAGGAUUCAUCGAUCUUUUGCAGAUUAGUACGUUUCCUGAAAUUUCAUUUGGAAAUGUUUGGAAAGGGCACACAUUACCUUUUGAGAGCCACCUCUUCUCAAAGGUGACAAUGAAGUCCUUCAUUUGCCUCUAGGCAAAAAGUUGAACCCAGAGAUGAUCUGAGGCAAUUCACAGUUGCAAUUAAUUUGAAUAUUUAUAUACAUCGCAGCAGAUAAACAGAGAUCCACAAAAUGAAGGUACAGGAUAAAAGAAAUCAAAAGAAACCCAAUGGAUUUCUAACACAAUAGUACACAAUGGUGAAAUGAAAAAUGCACAGCAGAAAAACCUGUAUUAAAAUAUCAGAUAAAAGUGUAAUUAUGCAAAAUUAGCCAGGUAGCUAUUUAUUUAAAAAACCCUACCUUUCCCCCAAUCUUCCACCAGCCCUCUAGUUGAAGUUCACUAUCUUUAAUAGUCUUUGGCCUAAAGACUGAGGAAGAAAGAUAGAUAGCUACCUAUUCCAUGGCACAGAUUCCUGAAGAUUCAGGGAAUGUACAGCAGUAUUGAUCCAGAACAAUCUGAACUGGAAAAAUCAGAAGGAAAAAUGUAAAAUAGGGUAGUGAAGUUCCUGGUGUGUGCAUGUGUAUUUGUAAUUCAUAAUAAAAGAAAACAAUAAAGGGGAGUACUGAAUUCC
ensembl:lncRNA